rnacentral:lncRNA from 1 species
ACAGAGUUUGUUAGAAAGAUAAAAGCAACAGUAGUGCGGCAUUGCGAGGCAGGCAAAAAUGUUAUGAGUGAUUUCUGGUUUUCUCAUCCCUUUCUUCUGUUUCCUCAUCUCCUUCCUCUACCUAUCUUAGCUACUUUCCUUUUGCAUUUUCAUUUGUAAUUCAGUCAAUUGACUGUUGCAAGUUACUGUCCAAUUUGUAAUUGUUCUCCAGUUAACUAACAUCAAUUAGAUAGUUUGGCUACUGUUUCAUUGAGUAAUAGUUGGCAUUACAUUGGUGCUUUCAUUUUAUAGGUCUGUGAUGGAAGACCAACAACAACUCAAGGCUCUCAUUGCCGACUCGGUUCAGGAAGUGAAGGAUUCCAUUUCUAAAGAACUCGCUGAGAUUCGUGGGAUUCUCCUGGAGGUUGUCGGAAACAGAGCUCUGGCAGGUCGGGGACAAGAGGUAACCACUCUUCGUCACAAGCCGGCUUCGGUGGAGUUUGGUCAAUUUUGCGGCGAGAAUCCAGAGGCUUGGUUAUUUCAAGCGGAGCGCUACUUUGCUCAUUAUGAAAUUGCGGAUGAUGAGAAGCUCACUAUUGCAUCGUUUUACCUCGACGGCGAUGCCUUAGAAUGGUAUCGAUGGUUGUACUGGAAUAAGCAAUUGGCGGGUUGGGAGCAUUUUGCAGAGAAGGUACGGAUUCGUUUCCUUCCUAAGGGGCUCGAAUCUGCUGAAGGACGGUUGGCCAAGCUCCGGCAAAUCACCACCGUAUCUGAGUUACAAAGCCGCUUUGAGAAGAUAGCAAACGAGACUACUGACAUCUCUGAUCGGCUCUUGGUACGUCUUUUUGUUUCUGGGCUGCGUACUGAUAUUAAGAGUUCUGUUUUAGCCCAUCGGCCCACUACAUAUGAGGAUGCUGUACAUUUAGCCCAUAUUCACGAGAAACGUAUCCUAGCUGAAAAAGGCCCACCUCGCCCCGCAUUUGCCAAUAGAACUCCGCCCCUUUUACCCAACCCUGAUACAGUCCCAAAUAAUAUUUCCUCCACCUCUGUCGGCCCUUCCAAUUCACCACCGCAAAACCGCCCACCCAUUAAACGAUUAUCCCAUGCUGAACUUCAGAGCCGUCGAGAGCGGGGUCUUUGUUAUUAUUGUGAGGAAAAGUAUACCGCAGGUCAUAAGUGUAAAUCGCCUCCUCAAUUAUUGCUCCUCACCAAUGAGCCGGAGGUGGUUUUAUCCAUGCCGGAACCCUUCCUCUCUGAUGAAGUAUUGGCAGAGGAGUUGCAAUGUUUGGAGAUACAGGAACAUUCUACUAUCUCGUAUCACGCUUUAACUGGUGGUCAUUCCCCAUCUACACUCCGAUUCACUGGGCAGAUUAAUGGCUCCUCUGUUCAGGUCUUAGUGGAUGGAGGAAGUACCCACAACUUCGUCCAACUGCGAGCCGCGAAGUACUUACAACUGUUUGUGGACUCCAUUUCCCCUGUCGCUGUUAUGGUGGGUAGCGGCCAUCGCCUUAGGUGUGAGGGAGUGGCAAGGCAGACCACCCUUUUACUUCAAGGGAGCACGGUGGUAGAAGAUUUUUAUGUCCUACCAUUCGAGGGGUCUGAUGUGGUAUUAGGGGUAUCAUGGCUCGCCAAAUUAGGUCCUGUACUUACUAAUUAUGCCACUAGGGAAUUUGAGUUCAACUGGAAUGGGUGUCGAGUGAAGUGGCAAGGGGAACCCUCUAUUGAUAUUCAACCGAUACAGUUACAUAGCUUGCGAAGGAUGGCUGCCACCGACGCUAUUGCUUCAUUCUUUCAUCUGGAAAUGCUUUGUGGGGAGGUAGCAUCCGUGGUGGCACCCACUGCAGAGUUAGCGUCCCUUUUGGACUCUUUUGAGGAUGUUUUUCAAAAAACAGUGGGCUUACCACCCUCACGUGCCCAAGAUCAUGCUAUACAUCUCAUUCCGGGCGCGCAACCUGUUAAUGUGAAGCCCUACAGGUACCCCUAUUUUCAAAAGCAAAUUAUGGAACAACUAGUUGCCGAUAUGCUCAAGGAAGGUGUGAUUCGAGCAAGCGCUAGCCCUUUCUCUUCUCCAGUGCUGCUGGUCCGUAAGAAGGAUGGCACAUGGCGAUUUUGUGUCGACUAUAGAGCAUUGAAUGCACUGACCAUCCGUGAUCGCUUUCCAAUCCCUACCAUAGACGAAUUGUUUGAUGAGUUAUUUGGGGCACAAUUUUUUUCCAAGCUGGACCUUCUUUCUGGGUAUCACCAGAUAAGAGUUAAGCCCGAAGAUGUGGCUAAGACCGCAUUUCACACUCAUGAAGGUCAUUACGAAUUCCUCGUCAUGCCCUUUGGCCUUACUAACGCCCCCUCUACAUUCCAGGCGCUAAUGAAUGACAUUUUCAGACCAUGUUUACGGCGCUUUGUCUUAGUAUUUUUCGAUGAUAUAUUGGUCUAUAGUCCAGAUUGGGAGGCACAUCUGGAGCAUUUGGAACUUGUUCUGUCCUUGCUUCGAAAGUAUCAGUUGGUCGCCAAAAGAUCUAAGUGUCUAUUUGGUCAGCAGUCGGUGGAUUAUUUGGGGCACGUUAUUUAUGCUCAAGGGUUGUCUGUUGAUCCUGCCAAGAUUGCUGCAAUUCAGCAAUGGCCUAUCCCUCGCUCUGUAAAAGAUGUCCGUAGUUUUUUGGGAUUAGCCGGGUAUUACCGGCGUUACAUUCAUCAUUAUGCCGCGAUUGCCGGGCCACUUUCAGACCUAUUGCGGAAAGACUCUUUCAAAUGGAGCGAGGCAGCACAAGAAGCUUUCGAUGCAUUGAAGUCUAAGUUGGCUGCGACACCUGUUUUGACUUUGCCGAAUUUCAACCAGGAAUUCCAAUAGAGACAGAUUCUUCGGGGCAAGGCAUUGGGGCUAUCUUAUCACAAAAGGGUCAUCCUAUAGCCUAUUUCAGCCAGAAGUUGUGUCCAUGAAUGCAAAAUGUCUCGACUUAUCACAGAGAAAUGUUUUCCAUUACUCAAGCUGUGAGUAAAUGGCGACAGUAUUUGUUGUGGAGAAAAUUUACCAUUUAUACGGAUCAACAGUCCUUGAAGAAUCUCACAAAUCAGACCAUUCAAACACCUGAACAAUAGAAAUGGCUCACAAAGUUGGUGGGCUAUGAUUUUCGCAUCGUGUGUCGGCCCGACAAGCAAAACAUUGUAGCUGAUGCCCUGUCUCGUACCCCUGCUGCUUCUUUAAUGGUUCUGUCUGUCAACACCUUCGCAAUCGAACAAGAAUUGAAAGCUCUAAAUCAGUCCCACCCUGAGUUAUUAGAUAUACAGCAGCGUUUACAGCAAAAAGAUGUGAACUUCUGCGAGUAUCAAUGGAAAUAAGGUCAUCUGUUUUACAAAGGAAGAUUGGUGGUUCCUUCAGAUUCACCACUCCGCCAUAAGCUCAUGUUCGAUUUCACUCUUCAUCCAUUGGCGGCCAUGCUGGGGUAGCCCGAACCUAUCACCACUUAGCUUCCAAUUUCUUUUGGAACCACAUGCGACGAGAUGUUAAAUCCUUUGUAGCUGCAUGCCAAGUUUGUAAGCAGAUGAAGGAUACUCAUUUGCAUUCAGCGGGGUUGUUACAACCCCUUCCUAUUCCUGACCAAGUGUUUGAGGAUAUUGCAAUGGAUUUUAUCACUUGUCUUCCAAGUUCGAAAGGGAAGACUACAAUCAUGACAAUAAUUGAUCGUUUAUCCAAAUAUGGGCACUUUAUUCCAUUGCCAUCUACAUUCUCUACUCAAUUGGUUGCAGAAGCUUUUGUCGUGGGUGUAAUUCAGCUUCACGGUCCACCAAGAACUAUUGUAACUGACCGAGACCCUAGGUUCUUACACUCUUUUUGGCAAGAGCUCAAUCGCUUACAGGGAUCUACUUUGGCUAUGAGUACUGCCUAUCAUCCCCAAUCGGAUGGGCAGUCUGAAGCUCUAAACAAAUGUGUCGAGCAGUACCUCCGCUGCUAUGUUGCUGUUGUUCCUUCGCAAUGGGUAGCUAUGCUGCCGUGGGCUGAAUAUUGGUACAACACAGCCUACCAAACAUCAGCAGGGAUGACUCCGUUCCAUGCCUUGUAUGGUCGUGAACCCCCGACUAUUGCCCGUUAUAUACUAGGCAGCACUGCUAGCGGGUUGGUGGAGACUUAUUUGCUACAACGGGAUGAAGUGCUGCAGUUGCUCAAGCACAACUUGGCCAAGGCGCAAACACGCAUGAAAACUCUAGCUGACAAGUCGAGGACUGAGGUUGCCUUUGAGAUUGGGGAUUGGGUUUACGUCAAAUUAAAACCCUAUAGGCAGGUAUCCCUUCGUUUGCAAAAGGAUCACAAAUUAGGUAGACGAUACUUUGGUCCUUUCCAGGUCCUCAAAAGGAUCGGCUUAGUGGCAUAUAAGUUGGAGCUUCCAGAGGCGGCUAAGAUUCACCCUGUUUUUCAUGUCUCUACUAUGCUCAAGCGAUAUGUGGGAAGCCCAGACCAACAAAUUAUGCCGCUAAAUCUGUUUGAUUUCGCCAAUGACUCUUCCCAGCUCGAUCCAAACCUUGAGGACAAGGUUGUUUUUCAGGGAGAGAGUAAUGUUGUGAAUACAAACACGUUGGCAGCUGACAAAGAUGACAGGGAGGAUGCCACUAGUGACCAUCACAUGGAUCUGCCACGUAGGAGUUUUAGAACAGUAAUUCCUCCGGUUAAACUUGGGGAUUACGUUUGGAAAGGAGGAGGGGCACAUAAGUAAAAUGACAGAGUUUGUUAGAAAGAUAAAAGCAACAGUAGUGCGGCAUUGCGAGGCAGGCAAAAAUGUUAUGAGUGAUUUCUGGUUUUCUCAUCCCUUUCUUCUGUUUCCUCAUCUCCUUCCUCUACCUAUCUUAGCUACUUUCCUUUUGCAUUUUCAUUUGUAAUUCAGUCAAUUGACUGUUGCAAGUUACUGUCCAAUUUGUAAUUGUUCUCCAGUUAACUAACAUCAAUUAGAUAGUUU